GAUGAAGACGUAGCGAAAUGCGAUAAGUAGUGUGAAUUGCAGAAUUCAGUGAAUCAUCGAAUCUUUGAACGCACAUUGCGCCCCUUGGUAUUCCGAGGGGCAUGCCUGUUCCAGCGUCAUUAUAACCCCUCAAGCUCAGCUUGGUGUUGGGGCCUGCUGCACUGGCAGCCCUUAAAAUCAGUGGCGGCGCCAUCUGGCUCUAAGCGUAGUAAUUCUUCUCGCUAUGGAGUCCUGGUGGAUGCUUGCCAUCAACCCCCAAUUUUUCUAUGGUUGACCUCGGAUCAGGUAGGGAUACCCGCUGAACUUAAGCAUAUCAAUAAGCGGAGGA
rnacentral:misc_RNA from 1 species